GACGAACGCUGGCGGCGUGCCUAAUACAUGCAAGUCGAACGCUGAAGGAGGAGCUUGCUUCUCCGGAUGAGUUGCGAACGGGUGAGUAACGCGUAGGUAACCUGCCUGGUAGCGGGGGAUAACUAUUGGAAACGAUAGCUAAUACCGCAUAAGAGUAGAUGUUACAUGACAUUUGCUUAAAAGGUGCAAUUGCAUCACUACCAGAUGGACCUGCGUUGUAUUAGCUAGUUGGUGGGGUAACGGCUUACCAAGGCGACGAUACAUAGCCGACCUGAGAGGGUGAUCGGCCACACUGGGACUGAGACACGGCCCAGACUCCUACGGGAGGCAGCAGUAGGGAAUCUUCGGCAAUGGACGGAAGUCUGACCGAGCAACGCCGCGUGAGUGAAGAAGGUUUUCGGAUCGUAAAGCUCUGUUGUAAGAGAAGAACGAGUGUGAGAGUGGAAAGUUCACACUGUGACGGUAUCUUACCAGAAAGGGACGGCUAACUACGUG
rnacentral:rRNA from 1 species